AAGUUCGAAACAGAAGUUUUCGGUGCGUAUUUCUUCAUUUUCAAGUGGGUUGUGGUUCAACAAGUAAAAAGCGGCCAAAUGAAUGGUGAAACAAUAGAAAUGUGAUAGGAAGAAUCAAUUCUUAUUUCAGCCUCAAAUUAAGACUAGACACAUCCAAAUUGAUGGCAAUCAUUCGACCUCAAGUUUCGAAUCUCACCUAAACAAGAACUUGUCAAGUAACUUUAGUACUAAUAAAACACUGUAUAUGACAAACAAGACACCAAUGGGGUGAAUUUCUCUGAGUAAUCUCUUUUGAAUCUCAUAGUUGUCUUGUCUAAUUUACUUUUUUUUGUUUUGCUGCAGUCAUUGCAAUUGUUCUCUGUUUGUUUGCUUUUAUAUUGCGCUUAAUUUUUCUCUCUUAUUCAGUCAACCUUUUCAAUUCUUUUCUUUGAAUUUUCAAAUGCAUAUGAUAGACCACAAGAUUACUAAGCUUCUAUUCAGAAACUACGAUAAAUAAUGAUGAAAUUAAAUGCAUAAAUUCCUUACACUUCAGAGAUAAAUAAUGUGUAAGUUAUCAUAUAUCUGUUAUCAAAUUGGUAUCUGUUUUACUGUUAUUUGUACUUUUCAUUUACUAUCGGACUAUGAUACCUUCACCAUAUAGCAAAUAAGUAAUGUUGUUUUAAGAUAACAUCUUUUUUAAGAGUUGCAGAUAAAUACGUCUUACUGACUAUUUGCUUAAUAUGAAUAUAGUGUUUCGAAAUGCGCAUAGACGUGUUUCAAUAAUUAUGUAAGCUAAAGUCCAUUUAAGCCAAAAAUAUUUAUAAAUUCGAACCAUUUGUUAUGUGUAGAUUAAUUUCAAAGUACAAAGUGAAAUUUUGCUUCAUAUCAAUAUAUUUUUAACAUUUUUGGUAGUACCUAUUUAUAGUAAGAUCUUAUAUGUACAGUUUCUGCUAUACACAUUUGUUUCUUUCUUUCUAAUUUUGUUUGCCGAGCAUAUGGAUUUUUAGUUAGUCGAAGCAAUGUUAUUGGGACAUUAUUCAAAGAAAUAUUUUUUUUAUAAGUAUUAAUAAUAAUGCUGUAAUUUUAGAAAUUCCAAAUCGUUUUCUUGAACUUGAUGAGGUCAUUUUUGCUCCUUGACUCUUUUAUAUAAUAAUUAUCAAAUGGUUUGCUGAUUCUUUCUGUUAUCAUUUUUAAAACAGCAUAUACUUGUACUAGUCGCGGUCUAUUUAGGAUACCCAUUAAUUUUGCUGUAAUUAGACCACAGGAUAAUACAAAAUUCAACGAGGAUGGCUAAGGUUAUGACAUAUUGCCUAGAUAACGAUUGUGAAAAAAUUUUGAUAAUGACGCUGAAAUAAAUCUCAGCAUUUGAGUAUUAUGAAAUUAUGGUGAAUUGUUUAGAUUUAGUGAAGGUCAAUUCGUCAUGAAUUAAAUUUAUGCUGAAGGUGUUGAUGUGACAUAACUUUAAAAUGAGAAGGUUAUUAAAGUUAAAGUUUAUAUAUAAGAAUUAAUUACCACAGUAAGAUCGCAUCAAUUCACCUUUAAAGUGUAGUAGAGUUAAUUUAUUAAGAUCGCGAUAAGGAAUCGGGUAAAAUAUAUUUUAAACUUAAGUUAAAAUGUUAUUUGUACAUAUCGCUUUUCUCCCUUAAGCACUUUUAAAAUUAGAAUGAUUGUGCUUAACUGGUAUCUUUAUUACCUCACAAAUGUUGGUCAUGUUUAUAUGAAUAAAAUUCGUGUUUAAUCAGUUUUACUGCUUCUUUCGUUAUUUUAAAUGUUCUUUUGUCAAGAAAGAAAGUUAAGACACCAGUUACGUAGAAUAAGGAAUUCCUUCUAACAUUUAUGACCUAAUUGGUUUAAUUCAUCAUCGAUUUGUUUCGUAAAUCAUAUUUCUUUCAUUCACAUAUGUUUAUAAAGUUUUCAUAGAAAAAAGCUGUGAAUGCUAUACGUAUUAAAAUCGAAAGCAAAGUGUUAACAAUAUUCGCUUCACUAAAUAAAAUGUAGUUUUUAUUUAUUAUGAAUAGAUCUCAUUAGACUUUAAUGUGAAAGUAAUUGAAAAUAUACAUACAUAGUUCCAGAUAGUUAAUUAAUAAAUGCAAGUAAUUUGUUUGUUAAAAAAAUAAUAAACCAAUCCAUUGCUAUAUUGUGAUAACCUUAGUGGAAUGUACACAUCAGUUUAUCUCUAACAAAUAAACUUUAUUUACACAUU